ACAGUGAAGCGUGGUGGAGCAAGCAUCAUGAUAUGGGGAUGUUCUGUUGGGUCUAUUUAUCGCAUACAAAGGAUCAUGGAUCAGUUUGAAUGUACAUCAAAAUACUUGGAGGUCAUGUUGCCCUAUGCCGAAGAGGAAAUGCUCCUGAAAUAGGUGUUUCAACAAGACAACAACCCCAAACACACCAGCAAGCGAGCAGCAUUUGGGUUCCAGACCAACAAAAUUAAAGUUAUGGAGUGGCCAGCCCAAUGCCGGGACCCUACUCCAAUAGAAAACUUGUGGGGUAACAUCAAAAAUACUGUUUCAGAGGUAAAACCAAGAAAUGCAGAGGAAUUGUGGAAUGUAGUCCAAUGGUCCUGCACUGGAAGACCUGUUCACAGGUUCCAGAAGUUUGUCAACUCAAUGCAACACAGAUGUGAAGCAGUUCUCAGAAACUGUGGUUAUGCAACUAAAUAUUUGUUCAGUGAUUCACUGGAAAAAUAAAUCUUCAAGCAUUUUUCAGUUUAUACAGCAAAUGUUUGAGUUUGUAAAGAGAAAUGCAGACGUUGCUUUUUUUUUGAACAGCCUAAUUAUCCUUUUUCUUCACUUUCUGUAAAGUAAUAACGAAUUUGAUACAUUUUUCUUCCCAUUUUGGUUUGGAAUAAAAUGUACAGUGUUCACAAUGCAUUUAUGUGUAUGGAAAUAAAAGCUAUUAUAAGGAUUCUGAGCUUUACUCACUUUUUU